rnacentral:lncRNA from 1 species
CAAAUGGACUGCACACAUCAGUAUGCACUAAAGCCAGUACCUCAGUGGUCCUUUCCCUAUGUCCUACAAAGGGUAGCUUGAUCAUUUUUUUCUUGAAGACAAGACCUAUAGACUAAAAUCGACUCAUCCGAGAAUGAAUCUAAAAGAUCAUCUUUCAUCAGUCUAUUAAUCUUUUUUUCUUCAAUAUGACCUAGUCUAAGAUGCCACAUAUACUUUAGGUUAACCUCAUCUUAAGAGAUCCAACGGUACUCACAG